AUUGAACGCUGGCGGCAGGCCUAACACAUGCAAGUCGAGCGGAUGAAGGGAGCUUGCUCCUGGAUUCAGCGGCGGACGGGUGAGUAAUGCCUAGGAAUCUGCCUGGUAUUGGGGGAUAACGUCUGGAAACGGGCGCUAAUACCGCAUACGUCCUGAGGGAGAAAGUGGGGGAUCGUCGGACCUCACGCUAUCAGAGGAGCCUAGUUCGGAUUAGCUAGUUGGUGGGGUAAAGGCCUACCAAGGCGACGAUCCGUAACUGGUCUGAGAGGAUGAUCAGUCACACUGGAACUGAGACACGGUCCAGACUCCUACGGGAGGCAGCAGUGGGGAAUAUUGGACAAUGGGCGAAAGCCUGAUCCAGCCAUGCCGCGUGUGUGAAGAAGGUCUUCGGAUUGUAAAGCACUUUAAGUUGGGAGGAAGGGCAGUAAGUUAAUACCUUGCUGUUUUGACGUUACCAACAGAAUAAGCACCGGCUAACUUCGUG
rnacentral:rRNA from 1 species